UACGGAGGGUGCGAGCGUUGUCCGGAAUCACUGGGCGUAAAGCGUGCGCAGGCGGCUUUGCAAGACAGAUGUGAAAUCCCCGGGCUCAACCUGGGAACUGCAUUUGUGACUGCAAGGCUAGAGUACGGCAGAGGGGGAUGGAAUUCCGCGUGUAGCAGUGAAAUGCGUAGAUAUGCGGAGGAACACCGAUGGCGAAGGCAAUCCCCUGGGCCUGUACUGACGCUCAUGCACGAAAGCGUGGGGAGCAAACAGG
rnacentral:rRNA from 1 species